UGUUAUUAGUUGCCAGCAUUUAGUUGGGCACUCUAAUGAGACUGCCGGUGAUAAACCGGAGGAAGGUGGGGACGACGUCAGAUCAUCAUGCCCCUUAUGACCUGGGCAACACACGUGCUACAAUGGGAAGUACAACGAGUCGCAAACCGGCGACGGCAAGCUAAUCUCUUAAAACUUCUCUCAGUUCGGACUGGAGUCUGCAACUCGACUCCACGAAGGCGGAAUCGCUAGUAAUCGCGAAUCAGCAUGUCGCGGUGAAUACGUUCCCGGGUCUUGUACACACCGCCCGUCAAAUCAUGGGAGUCGGAAGUACCCAAAGUCGCUUGGCUAACUUUUAGAGGCCGGUGCCUAAGGUAAAAUCGAUGACUGGGAUUAAGUCGUAAGAAGAUGGCCGUAGGAGAACCAGAGGCUGGAUCACCUCCUUUCU
rnacentral:rRNA from 1 species